rnacentral:snoRNA from 1 species
CAGUUACUGUGAUGAUGAAUCAAUUAGAUGUGUGAAAUGUGUGUUUUUCUCUCAUUAUGAACGAAAAAACAUUGAGGCAUUUACUAAGAUUCUGAACAUUUUUUA